AACGAACGCUGGCGGCAUGCCUAACACAUGCAAGUCGAACGAUUGCCUUCGGGUGAUAGUGGCGCACGGGUGCGUAACGCGUGGGAAUCUGCCCUUAGGUUCGGAAUAGCAGCUGGAAACGGCUGCUAAUACCGGAUGAUAUCGCGAGAUCAAAGAUUUAUCGCCUGAGGAUGAGCCCGCGUUGGAUUAGGUAGUUGGUGGGGUAAAGGCCUACCAAGCCGACGAUCCAUAGCUGGUCUGAGAGGAUGAUCAGCCACACUGGGACUGAGACACGGCCCAGACUCCUACGGGAGGCAGCAGUGGGGAAUAUUGGACAAUGGGCGCAAGCCUGAUCCAGCAAUGCCGCGUGAGUGAUGAAGGCCCUAGGGUUGUAAAGCUCUUUUACCCGGGAAGAUAAUGACUGUACCGGGAGAAUAAGCCCCGGCUAACUCCGUG
rnacentral:rRNA from 1 species